rnacentral:lncRNA from 1 species
UUAAGUGUUGCUAAUGGAGACAGUCUGAUGCUUGAUUUUCUUGUAAUUCUGAAGUAGUACAGUGAAGCACAAAAGUUUCGCUUGUUUAUAUCAAGGAAGUAGAAAAUUUAGUAGUACACUAGUACGGUUGAUAUGAUCCUACCGAUAACAACUAGGCAGAAUAAUUCAAGCACUUAAUAACAACCGAACUAUAGCUCGUCCUUACAUAUGAUCCUGAGCAUAUGUGUUUAGUUUGCCAUAAUUUUUACUAGACCUGUAAAUUUUUGGCAGGCACUUGUAUUACAACUGAUGUGCAGACCAGCUACGCAGCACGGAUCAUGGGGCUAUCUGUUAUCCCCUUUGUCAUUGCUCAGUUCCCCAAGAUGUUGAAGACCCACCAUGGGCAGCGCCUGGCUGUCUUGUUGGCCCUUAUCGUGUCGUUCUUGCUUGUGCUUUCCUACUGCGUGUAUCAGGUAAACGAAUCAGAAAUACGUUUAAGCACUUCAGCCUCAUGAAAUGAUUACAAGAUUGAAAGAUCUGGACCACGAGAAUCAUGUUUGACAGUACUGAAUACUCCAUCUUGCAUCAGGUUUUCCAGCCAUGGAUUCAAAGGAGGAAGCUUGCGUACGCCAAGCACAAACAUGUGAUC